AGCAGUCGCCACGGGAAUACGAACCGUGCGAACGUUAUUCGGAAUUACUGGGCUUAAAGCGCGUGUAGGCGGGCCGCCACGUCGGUUGCUGAAAUCCCCCGGCUCAACCGGGGAAGUGGCAUCGAUACGAGCGGCCUUGAGGGGGGUAGGGGGAUCUGGAACUUCCGGUGGAGCGGUGAAAUGUGUUGAGAUCGGAAGGAACGCCCGUGGCGAAAGCGAGGUCCUGGACCCUUUCUGACGCUGAGACGCGAAAGCCAGGGGAGCGAACGGGAUUAGAUACCCCCGUAGUCCCUGUCUCUUAUA
rnacentral:rRNA from 1 species